rnacentral:rRNA from 1 species
UACAGAGGUCCCGAGCGUUGUUCGGAUUCACUGGGCGUAAAGGGUGCGUAGGUGGUCGGGUAAGUCUGAUGUGAAAUCUCCGGGCCUAACCCGGAAACUGCAUCGGAUACUAUUCGGCUGGAGGGUUGGAGGGGGGACUGGAAUACUUGGUGUAGCAGUGAAAUGCGUAGAUAUCAAGUGGAACACCAGUGGCGAAGGCGAGUCCCUGGACAACUCCUGACACUGAGGCACGAAAGCUAGGGGAGCAAACAGG